UACUCGAGUGGCGAACGGGUGAGUAACACGUGGGUGAUCUGCCCUGCACUCUGGGAUAAGCCUUGGGAAACUGGGUCUAAUACCGGAUAGGACCAUGCUUUAGUGUGUGUGGUGGAAAGUUUUUUCGGUGUAGGAUGAGCCCGCGGCCUAUCAGCUUGUUGGUGGGGUAAUGGCCUACCAAGGCGGCGACGGGUAGCCGGACUGAGAGGUUGGUCGGCCACAUUGGGACUGAGAUACGGCCCAG
rnacentral:rRNA from 1 species